rnacentral:tRNA from 1 species
GGCGAAUGCCGGCGGAACUACAGCGCUGUUAACGCCCAGGUUGCGGGUUCGAAUCCCGUCGCGGUCGCCA